rnacentral:rRNA from 1 species
GACGAACGCUGGCGGCGUGCCUAAUACAUGCAAGUCGAACGCAGUGGGGACGGGUGAGUAACACGUGGGUAACCUCCCAUCAGAGGGGAUAACACUUGGAAACAGGUGCUAAACCGAUACUGAUGGAUGGACCCGCGGUGCAUUAGCUAGUUGGUGAGGUAACGGCUCACCAAGGCCACGAUGCAUAGCCGACCUGGGAGGGUUGUGGGCCACACUGGAACGGGGACACGGCCCAUACUCCUACGGGGGGAGGCAGUGGGGAAUCUUCGGCAAUGGACGAAAGUCUGACCGAGCAACGCGGCGUGGGUGAAGAAGGUUUUCGGAUCGUAAAACUCUUUUGUUAGGAAAGCGGUAUCUAACCAGAAAGCCACGGCUAACUACGUGCCAGCAGCCGCGGUAAUUC